rnacentral:rRNA from 1 species
AAGUCCCGUAACGAGCGCAACCCUUGUCCCUAUUUGCCAGCGAUUCGGUCGGGAACUCUAGGGAGACUGCCGGUGACAAACCGGAGGAAGGUGGGGACGACGUCAAGUCAUCAUGGCCCUUACGGGUAGGGCUACACACGUGCUACAAUGGCCGGUACAAUGGGUUGCGAAUCCGCGAGGUGGAGCUAAUCCCAUAAAGCCGGUCUCAGUCCGGAUCGGAGUCUGCAACUCGACUCCGUGAAGUCGGAAUCGCUAGUAAUCGUGAAUCAGAAUGUCACGGUGAAUACGUUCCCGGGCCUU